rnacentral:rRNA from 1 species
GUCGAGAAUAAUUCACAAUGGGGGAAACCCUGAUGGUGCAACGCCGCGUGGAGGAUGAAGGUCUUCGGAUUGUAAACUCCUGUCAUCUGGGAGUAAGACCUGACGGUGAAUAGCCGGCAGGGUUGAUAGUACCAGAAGAGGAAGGGACGGCUAACUUCGUGCCAGCAGCCGCGGUAAUACGAAGGUCCCAAGCGUUGUUCGGAAUCACUGGGCGUAAAGGGAGCGUAGGCGGCGUGGUAAGUCAGAUGUGAAAUCCCGGGGCUCAACCCCGGAACUGCAUCCGAUACUGCCAUGCUUGAGGGUUGGAGAGGUGACUGGAAUUCUCGGUGUAGCAGUGAAAUGCGUGGAUAUCGAGAGGAACACUCGUGGCGAAGGCGAGUCACUGGACAACAUCUGACGCUGAGGCUCGAAGGCCAGGGGAGCAAAAGGGAUUAGAUACCCUUGUAGUCC